GAAGAGGGAGGAGGCCUUCCUUCCUUCCUUGCAGGCUGAAGGUAGCAAGUGCCUCAGACAGAGCAGUGCUGGAGGCAGAGACCCAAGGAGCUAAAGGCAGCUCCUAGCGGGCUGCAGGGAUCUGCAGGCUGAGUCAAGGGCAAACAGGGUGUGAGGGGCUGCAGGGAAGUGGCCCAGGGAAAGGUACUGAGAGGUUGGAGGAGAUGCAGCACGUGGCUGCCAUCUACAGGGUCCCUGGGCCGGGACCCGGAAUAGUGGGUGGGCCCGGGUUCCGCCCUUCCCCCACCUUGCCACUGAGGAAGUGGCUAGACAAUUGGCUGCAGAAGCCACUGAGGGAAGUGGCUGGGCAGUGGAUGGUGAUACUGUCCUCUGGAAGGGGGGAGCACAGAGUGCGGCACAGCCGGAGGGGCUGUAUCAUGAAGAGGACACUGCGGUCCCGGGAAUGAUGUGGGUCCCUGGAGCAGAAGUGACUGGGGCAAGACACCACCAGAAGAGGGCGCACCGGCUAGCAGAGCUGUUCCCCGGAAUGUCCAGCAUGGGGCGCCACAGUGCAAACAGACAGCAUCCAUGAGAUGCUGGGGGACAUUCUGACGGCAGUUUCUGAUCCACCAAAGGUGACUGAUGGAGGAGGAGGAUGACAAUACAGGUGUAGAGGAAUAGAACUGCCUGAUGCUGCUUGUGACUCUCUGUGGUUGCUGAUGCCCUCUACGUAGACUGGCACUUCUGGAGCAGGGCCACAAGCACAGACUGGUGGGAUCACAUCAUAUGGACCUGAGAUGACCAGCAGAACUUUCACAUGAAGAAAGCUACAUUUCUGGAGCAUUGUGAGCCGCUUCCCCCACCCUCCAGAUUGGGACAUGCUCAUGAGGGCAGCCAUACUGGUUCAGAAGCAGGUUGCUAUAACCAUCUGGAACCUGGCUAUCCCAGACUGCUACAAGUCCAUUGCUAACCAGUUCAGAACUGGAAAAUGACCCACAUGUAAAGUGGUUGCAAAACUUUUGCAACCAUCAGUCAGUCAUGUAUUUUACCCAAAAGUGGUGGUCAUAAACAAUAUCCCUGAAGUAAUUGCUGAUUUUUGAGAGAAUGGGGUUUCCAAACUGCUCCGUUGACUCAGAUGCCCACAUCACGUGCUCCUCAAGGAGCACGUGGGUACAUAAACUGCAAAGGGUACUACCCCAUUGUUAUGCAAGCCCUUCUGGACCACAGAGGCUGAUUUACAGAUGCCAAUGUGGACUGCACUGGAAAAGUUCAUGAUGCCAGGGUUUCCAACAAUCGGGAGUCUACAUUCAUGGACAGCCUGGGACACUAUUCCCACCAAAUGAUGUAAUAAAUGGAGUUACUGUCCCCACUUUUGUCCUGGGGGACCCAGUGUACCCUCUUUUGCUUGGGCUUAUGAAACCAUAAUGAUUUCAGAGCCCCUGGCCAAAGAGGUUCAAAGUCAUACUCUCUCAGCAGGUGCAGAACAGUGGUUGAAUGUGCGUUUGGCAGAUUAAAAUCCUGCUGACGCUGUCUA